CCAACACCGCGAGGCAAAGGCGCGCUCUGCUCACUUCCAUGAAAGGUUCGGAAUGGAGCUUGGCCCCCGGGGCUCGAAUCGCUCACUUCUCCGUUAGGUUAAGCUGGCCAUGGGCCAGCUAGAUUCGAGAUUCUUUCUGAACCCUCAGGGCGAACAGGCUACCUGCCCCGGUGCGGCCCGCGGGGCUGUGUGGAACAGUUGGCCUCUCUGCGAAUGCUUGAGUGCCACCCAGAGGGGACCCGCCCGGCCACCGCCGCCCGCCUGGAGAGGAGGGCCGAAGGACACCCGACGCAAACCUGUCUCCCCGGCGCUCGGAGAAGGGCUUUCACAAACAACCCACGCAUCCCCAGCGCCGAAAUCCGGGAACAAAAGCGAAGUUUGUUAUUUGUUCAUUCCUUGCAUUUGAAGUCCUCCGUCUCGACAUCAUCCUUGGCCUGAAACUCUGCUCAAGUCCUUAACCACACGACGGCAACCAGCCACUCCAGGUGGGUUUGCCUCUUGUCAGUUUUACACAGGUUUACCCAGUCCCCUAGUUACUUGUCCUCAGCAGCCUUAAUUAGGCUGCUUUGGUGUUCAGCACAAAGGGCCUCCAUCAGCUGACAGACAGGCUCAUCCCAGUUGGAUGCAAGCUCACAAAGGGAGGCUUUAACAAUUUCUUGAAUUCCAUUUGCUAGGCCAUCCCCGACGGGACAGUCUUCAGCACCCCUUGUAAAGCCAUGGCUCUGGGUUCCUAGGGGAGCCAAAUCUUGAAUUCACUGGAGCCUCCGGGUGACUGAGGGUGGUAGGGAAAAGAGCUAGACUUCUCAUUAGGACCUUCCUGUGUUUUGCCCAAAUUUCCAUAACAAGGAUGAUUUGCUUUAAAAUUUGGCAAAACAGUAAGAAAACAGCAAGAGUUAUUCAUUGAAAAUGCAUGUUAUUCAGGAACAUUGGG
rnacentral:lncRNA from 1 species